rnacentral:rRNA from 1 species
AUUGAACGCUGGCGGCAGGCCUAACACAUGCAAGUCGAGCGGAUGAAGGGAGCUUGCUCCUGGAUUCAGCGGCGGACGGGUGAGUAAUGCCUAGGAAUCUGCCUGGUAGUGGGGGAUAACGUCCGGGAACGGGCGCUAAUACCGCAUACGUCCUGAGGGAGAAAGUGGGGGAUCUUCGGACCUCACGCUAUCAGAUGAGCCUAGGUCGGAUUAGCUAGUUGGUGGGGUAAAGGCCUACCAAGGCGACGAUCCGUAACUGGUCUGAGAGGAUGAUCAGUCACACUGGAACUGAGACACGGUCCAGACUCCUACGGGAGGCAGCAGUGGGGAAUAUUGGGCAAUGGGCGAAAGCCUGAUCCAGCCAUGCCGCGUGUGUGAAGAAGGUCUUCGGAUUGUAAAGCACUUUAAGUUGGGAGGAAGGGCAGUAAGUUAAUACCUUGCUGUUUUGACGUUACCAACAGAAUAAGCACCGGCUAACUUCGUG